UACGUAGGGGGCUAGCGUUGUCCGGAUUUAUUGGGCGUAAAGAGCGUGUAGGCGGCCAGGUAGGUCUGGUGUGAAAACUCGAGGCUUAACUACGGGUCUGCGGUGGAUACGGGCAGGCUAGAGGCUGGUAGGGGCAAGCGGAAUUCCUGGUGUAGCGGUGAAAUGCGCAGAUAUCAGGAGGAACACCGGUGGCGAAGGCGGCUUGCUGGGCCAGUUCUGACGCUGAGGAGCGAAAGCGUGGGGAGCGAACAGG
rnacentral:rRNA from 1 species